rnacentral:lncRNA from 1 species
UAGGGGUUUGCUAACUUGCGUACGCCUGUUUUUCAGUUGGUACAUUUUAGCAAUGUGUACCGGGUUUCAGUAGACAAAAAUACCUUUAUAUCAUGAAUUCUAAGUUUUAAGGUUAAAGGUAUUUUAAUAAUUUUCAUUCUCAAAAUUAAAAAAAUAAAAAAAGAAACCCCCAAUCCCUUAUCCACCCCUCUCAUUCCUCUCAACCUUUCUCUUUCAUCUCUUUCACUCCAACAUUUUCUCUAAUUGAAAAAAAUCAAAAACACUUGUCUUAUUUUAAUAAUUUUCAUUCUCAAAAUUAAAAAAAUAAAAAAAGAAACCCCCAAUCCCUUAUCCACCCCUCUCAUUCCUCUCAACCUUUCUCUUUCAUCUCUUUCACUCCAACAUUUUCUCUAAUUGAAAAAAAUCAAAAACACUUGUCUUAUUUUAAUAAUUUUCAUUCUCAAAAUUAAAAAAAAAAACCCCAAACCCUUACUCACCUCCUUCAUUCCUCUCAACCCUUUCUCUUUUAUCUCUCUCACUCAACACAUUUCCU